rnacentral:rRNA from 1 species
GACGAACGCUGGCGGCGUGCCUAAUACAUGCAAGUUGAGCGAUGAAGAUUGGUGCUUGCCCCAAUUUGAAGAGCAGCGAACGGGUGAGUAACGCGUGGGGAAUCUGCCUUUGAGCGGGGGACAACAUUUGGAAACGAAUGCUAAUACCGCAUAACAACUUUAAACAUAAGUUUUAAGUUUGAAAGAUGCAAUUGCAUCACUCAAAGAUGAUCCCGCGUUGUAUUAGCUAGUUGGUGAGGUAAAGGCUCACCAAGGCGAUGAUACAUAGCCGACCUGAGAGGGUGAUCGGACACAUUGGGACUGAGAAACGGCCCAAACUCCUACGGGAGGCAGCAGGAGGGAAUCUUCGGCAAUGGAAGAAAGUCUGACCGAGCAACGCCGCGUGAGUGAAGAAGGUUGUCGGAUCGUAAAACUCUGUUGGUAGAGAAGAACGUUGGUGAGAGUGGAAAGCUCAUCAAGUGACGGUAACUACCCAGAAAGGGACGGCUAACUACGUG